rnacentral:lncRNA from 10 species
AGAGAGUAUACACAGGCAGAAACUGGGACUUUUAAAACCAUCAGAUCUCAUGAGAAAUCCCUCACUAUCAUCAGAACAGCAUGGCGGAAACCGUCCUCAUGAUCCAAUCACCUCCCACCAGGUCCCUUCCUUGACAUGUGGGGAUUAUAAUUAGAGAUGAGAUUUGAAUGGGCACACAGAGCCAAACCAUAUUACAUAUGUCCACAAAAUUAUCUGUAUGUGAAUGUUUAUAGCAGUUUUAUCCACAGUAACUCCAGACUCAAAAUCAUCUAAAUGUCCAUUUUCUAGUGUAUAGCGUACAUACAAUGAAAUACCACUUGGCAAUAAAAGGGAAUAAACUACUGGAAUAUGCAACAACAUGGAUGAAUUUCAAAAGCAUUAUGCUCUGUGAAGGAAGUUAAACACAGAAGGCAACGUAAUGUGUAAUUCCUUUUAUCAUGCAGUUCAAAAAAUAAGACUAUAGGAACAGAAAUUUAGAUAUUGGGGAAGCAGAUUGAUCCAAAGGAGCACAGGAGAAUUUCUAGAAAUAAUGGAAAUACUCUAUCUCAAUCAAUUGAUGAUUACAUAACUAUAUAUGUUUGUCAAAACUCAUUGAACUGGGAAGCCAAGGCAGGAAGAUUGCAUGAGGCCAGGAAUUCAAGACUAAACUGGACAACACAGUGAGAAUCUGCCUCUACAAAAAAAAAAGAAAAAAAAAUAGCUAGGGGUUGUGGUAUGCACUUAUAGUCCUAACCACUCAGGAGGCUGAGGCAGGAGAAUGACUUGAGCUCAGCAGUUGGAGGCUACAGUGAGCUAUGAUCACACUACUGCACUCCAGCCUGGGCAACAGAGCAAGCCCUUGCCCCCUCCACCAAAAAAAGAACAGAAAGGAAAAAACCCAUUGAACUGUACUCCUAAAAAUGGUGCAUUUCAUUUUAUGGGAACUGUGUAUCCACAGAUCUGACUUUACAAAAGAGUCAAACAACUGACCAGAGGAAUAUAUUAGCAACAUAUGAAAGACAAAGGCAUACAAAAAGAAUGCACAAAUUCUCUAAAAAUACAUUUAAAAGAACAAAUGACUCCAUAGAAUAAUGGCUAAAAGAUAACAAAAUAUGAGAAACUAAAACAGGUCUGAGUUACACAGCUAAGUGAUGGAGCUGGGAUUCAAACUCUGCCAGCCUGAAUCCAAAAGCCUUGAUCGUAACUACCAUGCUAGAAUUGAAAUUAUGUAUGUCCAGCAAUUGCAUCUAAAUAUACAUGUUCCAGAAGCCCUAGACAGUAGAUGCAAGGGCCUAUAUAGAAGUAUAUUUCUUGCCACAUGGUUUGUGAUAGUAAAAAAUCAAGAAUGGUAGAGCGAUAUAUCAAUAAAAUAUUUUUAUACAGUAGAAUUCUAUAAAUUUGUAACAAGGAAUAAACUAGAUGUGUGUAUCAUAGCAACAUGGUUAUUUGCAUAAAGUCUGACAAUGGUGUCAGUAUUGCAGUUCAAAUCUCAUCUCUGCUACUAACUACAUGGGUAGCUUUGGCAAGUAACUCAAUCUGUUUGUGUCUCAGCUUCCUCAGCUAUAAAACAAGAAUAAAAGUGGUGUGUACCAUGUAGAAUUAUUAUGAGGAUUGAGUUAAUAUUUGUAAUACAGUGCUGAGAACAGUGCCUGACAUUUAAAAGUUCUACUGUAGUGAUAAUAAAUGCACAAAUAUAUAAAUAUCAACUUGGAUAUGUUUUAGAUAUUUUUAUUUAAAUAAAUUUAAUAUAAAAAGAAAGCUACAGAUACAUAUAUGUAUCCAAUAAGAUGGCAUUUUUGUAACUUAAAACAACAAUAAAUGGUAUAAACCGAUAAAUAUAUGUAUAGACAAUUUCCUGGAAUGCUAUGCAAAAACGAAUGCAUUAUUGUGAUGCCUUUGGAAAGAUAUGAAAAAGAAUCAGACUGAGAGACUGGCCCACAAGGGGUCUCUCUCUGUAAGAUAGCGAAUAGAAUGGUGGUUACCAUAGGCUUGCAAGGGUAGUGGAAAGAAAGGACAGAGAGGUGUUGGUUAAUGGGUGCAAAAAUAUAGUUAGAUAGGAGGAAUAAGAUCUAGUGUUCAGUAACACAGUACAGCAACUGUGGUUAACAAUAAUGUAUUGCAUAUUUCAAAAUAACUAGAAAAGUAGAUUUGGAAUGUUCUCAACACAAAAAAAAUGAUAAAUGUUUAAGGUGAUGGAUAUGCCAGUUACCCAGAUUUGAUCAUUACACAUCGUGUGCCUGUAUCAAAAUAUCACAUGUACCCCAUUAAUAUGCGCAACAUUAUGUAUCCAUAAACAUUUAAAAUAAAAAAGAGAAAGAUGAACGCAAAUCUGACAACGUGGUAACAAUUGUGAGUUUAGGCAUCCAGAAAAUGACUCUAGAAUUUACUUUAAUUUUCUAUUUGUUUUCAGUAAAUGCAAGGGUAAGGUCUCAGAAGAGAUAAGAAGAACCGAGAGGUGUGUAAGCAGGCUGUUUAUAAAUCUUUUUGUUUGUUUGUUUGUUUGAGACGGAAUCUCACUCUGUCGCCCAGGCUGGAGUGCAGUGGCAUGACCUUGGCUCACUGCAACCUCUGCCUUCCAGUUUCAAGCGAUUCUCCUGCCUCAGCCUCUCCAGUAGCUGGGAUUACAGAUGUCUGCCACCACGCCUGGCUAAUUUUUGUAUUUUUAGUAGAGACGGGAUUUCGCCAUGUUUGAAAGGCUGGUCUCAAACUCCUGACCUCGUGAUCCACCUGCCUCGGCCUCCCAAAGUGCUGGGAUUACAGGCGUGAGCCACUGCGCCCAGCCUGGCCUUUUUAUUUCAAACGAAAGUCAUGGAUGAUGAAGACAUAAAAUGGAUGAAUUUGAAGCAGGAAGAGCUGUAGUGAAGUUAGAGGAGGUGCCAGGGCCUGGAAAAGUCUCAAACAAUGAGGCCGGAUGACCUCCGAGAAAGCCACAGGCCUGGGUAGGCUUGCAUGGGGGACUGGGAAGAGACCAUGAACAGGUUAGUCCAGGGAGUUCUCAUCAAGCCUUUACUCAGUAGUGGGUUCUUCAUAGUUAGCAUUAAUGUUUAAUAGAUACAUUUCCCCUUGGGUGAGAAUUUUAAAAAUAAAAUCUAGUGUAAAGCAGCUGUUAUGAAGACUCUUUAGUGACCAGACAAUAAAAGCCUCUCCUAGGUCUAGAGAAGGCAGAAAAUUAAAAAGUGAACAGAAAGUAAAAAGGUGGCCGGACGCGGUGGCUCACGCCUGUAAUCCCAGCACUUUGGGAGGCCGAGGCGGGUGGAUCAUGAGGU